AACGUUGUUUACUUAUAGCUUGAUUUUUAUAUUCAACCAUUAUCGCGUAUUUAUAAUAUUCAUUCUGCCUAUCCAUAGACACUGCAUACAAAUGUAUACGAAUAGCAAAUCUUGUGCUCGACAAUUUCACACGUGGAAAAAAACAUCUAUAGAAAUAUAUUUUUGCAACUAACACUAUGCCAGCGAAAAUUAUUGCAAACGAGCUACCAGCUUCGUUUCGGGAUUGCGAUAAUAUUUGCAAGGAAUGUGACAAAGCUUUCGUGACGGCAGCGGGAUUUGAAUAAAAUUCCGACAAACAGGUAAACAUAAGCAAACCGAACUAGAGUUCUUAUUAGAAUAAGUUAGGCUGUCGUUGAAACACAAAAUCCUUGUAAUGUACAUUUCAACAUCGGAAAAAUAUCGUAACACUUUUUAGCUGAAAGUUAAUGAAGUUGCAUUAAUUCACGUUCACUCACUCACCCACCUAAAAGGAAGCUGUUCUAUGUGCCCUAAUAAUUUUUCAUUGAUUUCUCUCUGUUCUCGAGCGAACGAUAUUCGUUUCUGUUAGCAUAACGCCUCGUAAAAGAUCUCGAAGAAUUUCCGCAAGAAACUAAAAUUUCUUGGCAGAGACUUUCUACUGCCACUACUACUACAAGCUAAAUUACUCCUCAAUAAAGAAUCUAUUAUGGAAUUGAAAUAUCCAAUGUCCGAUUUAUUGUAUUGUAAAUUAUCUUGCAAUUUGUACUCGAUGGAUCUUUGAUUCGCACUUUGUCUAUAGCGAACAAUGAUAUGAGACAUGUUAACCUAUGAUACUCUAACGCGAUAUAAUGAACACUAUAACGGUUCAAAGCUAUUAGCUAAGUUAUUUGAGAUCACAAUUUCCUUUCAACCUGAACUAAGCAUAAUAAGCAGCAUACGAAAAUCGCACACAAAACUUUUGCUAGAAUAUGUUGUAAAAUAUAUUGAGAAAGGAAAAGAAAAAAAAAAAAAAAAGAAAAAUUAUUAACUGAAAUUCUAGCGAAUUGUAAGAGAGACUAGUACCUGGGACGUAUACAAUAUGAUUGUCAAAUCUAUAGUAUCUGAAAAUGCCUACAACAACAAUAUAUGAAUUUCUUGCUUUGCUUGCACAGAUAGCAAUUUAUAUAACAGAUUGGUAAUAGAUAGGGCUACCGGGGAUCAAUCAUAGAUGCAUACAGCAUAAGCUUCAUUGACGUUCGCAUAUUAUCCGAAUUUGAAAUAAACGAAAGUUCACUCUUCACUUAAUGCAGUAGUUAUUCAUUGAACGAACCUUUUAAAAACAAGGCGUGACAAAUGAUUCGAUCCUAAUAUUUUCAAUAGCACUCACCCUUGAGGGCCGAGACACGCGGUCGAUAGAGAAAAUUUCAUCAAAAUAUCCCAAAAAUUGCGGCCUUAUAGGUUGAGCAUAAAAGUGGAGAGACAAAUGGACACAUGGACAGACCAGCUUAGGUGUUGUAUACAUUCGUAUAAAGUUGAUCUACGCUUAUGCUGCAAGUCCAGUACGAUGCGAAAACGAAUCAUAAGUUUGGUAGAAAAGUUCGUAUCUUUGAUAUUCGAGCAAUGUAGAGAACAUUGUCACUUUAUAGUCGCAGACAUCUUCUAGGUGACCUUCACGGAAAUUCGACACAACUGUGUGACGGAUUUUAGGCAUUUUUUGCGUAAAGACUUAAAUUUGUAGGCGUAUAAGACGGUUUUAGAUGAAGACAAUACGAGUAAAGCUUGCGAUGCUAGCAUAUCCACAGCUGUAGAGCUACUUUUCGGUUCAGUGAUUUUGUUAAUAAAAACAGAUGCAACAAGAAGCUUACGUAAAACAGGCUUCUACUUUUAACAAUAAUAUGCUUGAUGCUUGGUGAUGAUGAGUAUCAAGGUAGCGUGGAGCAUGGAGCAAACAAAAGCUACGCCAUACCAAUUUGAGUGGCGACUGCCGGUUGGCCAUUCUUUCAACAAAUCGCAAGCGAUCUCCGAUUUUUAGUUGCAAUGAAAUCCGUAAUAUAUCAUUGAAUCGGUAAAGACGUUGCAUUAUCAGAAACAAAGUGAAAAAAGUCUCUUAUCUGUCUAUAUAUAGAUUUAGCAAUGAUCUUAAUGACAAUAUAUGUAUCUGACCUGAUUCGACAAAAUCGAUGAGCGACUCUUCUAGUUUGCUUGCUGUCGCGCAUAUUUUUGAAUUCAAACUGGAACUCAUCGCUAGCUCAAGAUUCAAAGUAAAAAUCGAAAGAGAAGUGGAGAAAGUUUCACGCGAAGAGAAUU